AGAGUUUGAUCCUGGCUCAGGAUGAACGCUAGCGACAGGCUUAACACAUGCAAGUCGAGGGGCAUCGCGAGGGUAGCAAUACCUUUGGCGGCGACCGGCGCACUGGUGAGUAACACGUAUGCGACCUGCCCCGGACAGGGGGAUAAACCCGGGAAACUGGGCCUAAUACCCCAUAUGCCCCGUAGACGCAUGUCUCCAGGGUGAAAGAUCCGUCGGUCCGGGAUGGGCAUGCGGCGCAUUAGCUAGUUGGCGGGGUAACGGCCCACCAAGGCGACGAUGCGUAGGGGUUCUGAGAGGAAGGUCCCCCACACUGGUACUGAGACACGGACCAGACUCCUACGGGAGGCAGCAGUGAGGAAUAUUGGUCAAUGGGCGGUAGCCUGAACCAGCCAAGUCGCGUGCGGGAUGAAGGCCCUCCGGGUCGUAAACCGCUUUAGCCGGGGAGUAACGUGGGGGACGCGUCCCUCAGUGAGAGUACCCGGAGAAUAAGCAUCGGCUAACUCCGUGCC
rnacentral:rRNA from 1 species